CCUACGGGUGGCAGCAGUGAGGAAUAUUGGUCAAUGGACGAGAGUCUGAACAAGCCAAGUAGCGUGAAGGAUGACUGCCCUAUGGGUUGUAAACUUCUUGUAUAAAGGAAUAAAACGAGGAACGUGUGCCGUUGUGCAUGUACUUUAUGAAUAAGGAUCGGCUAACGCCGUGCCAGCAGCCGCGGUAAGACGGAGGAUCCGAGCGUUAUUCGGAUUUAUUGGGUUUAAAGGGAGCGUAGAUGGGUUGUUAAGUCAGUUGUGAAUGUUUGCGAUUCAACCGGAAAAUUGCAAUUGAUACUGGCAGUCUUGAGUACAGUUGAGGUAGGCGGAAUUCGUGGUGUAGCGGUGAAAUGCUUAGAUAUCACGAAGAACCCCGAUUGCGAGGGCAGCUUACUAAACUGUGACUGACAUUGAUGCUCGAAAGUGUGGGUAUCAAACAGGAUUAGAUACCCCAGUAGUC
rnacentral:rRNA from 1 species